CGUUGGUAUUGCUUUCUAUUCUCUAUAUAAAUGUAUACUACUCUAUGAAUAAUCACACAUCUCCAACUCUUUUUCUUACUUCUUAUAUUUUUCAAAAAUGAGUUCAAGUCGCUCUUUGUCAUAUUCUAUUUAAGAAGAUAUACAAUUGUGUCGUGUGUAUCUUGAUGUUUCCCAAAAUCCAAUAAUAGAAAUAAACCAAUCAGGAGAUCAACUAUGGACAAGAGUUGAAGCUGAGUAUCAUAAAUCCGAUCCUUUUCGUCUUCAACGAAGACCAAAAAGAUCUUUACAAACUCGAAUGACGUCAAUUCUUUCUGCAGUCUCAAAGCUGAGAGGAUGCGUUAACCAAAUUGAGAAUAAAAAUCCUAGCGGUGCUUCCAAAG